UCUAGAGGCUUCGGCAAUGGGGGCAACCCUGACCGAGCGACGCCGCGUGUGGGAUUGAAGGCCUUCGGGUCGUAAACCACUGUCAUGAGGGAAGAAUACCGGAAUGGUGAAUUUCGGGGCGACGGUACCUCAGGAGGAAGCCCCGGCUAACUCCGUGCCAGCAGCCGCGGUAAUACGGAGGGGGCAAGCGUUGUUCGGAUUUACUGGGCGUAAAGGGUGUGUAGGCGGUUGCGUAAGUCUGGUGUGAAAUCUUCACCGCUUAACGGGAAGAGGUCACUGGAAACUGCGUAACUCGAGUAUGGUAGAGGCAAGCGGAAUUCCUGGUGUAGCGGUGGAAUGUGUAGAUAUCAGGAAGAACAUCUGUGGCGAAGGCGGCUUGCUGGGCCAUCACUGACGCUGAGACACGAAAGCGUGGGGAGCAAACGGGAUUAGAUACCCGCGUAGUCC
rnacentral:rRNA from 1 species